GGCAGAAUCAGGGAACAGCAUGAAAUCAAUGGAAAUGGAUGCAGCUGGGCCGGGGUGGUAGCUAUGUACUACAGGGUGUUGCCCCUUCUGCAGAGAGCAUCUCAACUGAAGUCAGUGGGCUUGCUCAAGGCAAGAUCUUCAGCCUUCAGUAAAGCACAUAGAUGUGUGAUCAGUGCUGGUGAAGUCAUAGGACUCCCUGCAACCUGUUAGGUAUGGGUUUAAGCUCUUCCCUUGCCACAAAUCAUACAAGUGUUGCUAAGAGCAAUUAUGUGAGCAGCUUCUAUUUCUGUUAAGCAGUUAUGUGAAGGAGACUAGCAAGAUCAAUUGUGAGUGUGCAAAGCACAGUAGGAAAUUCCUCCAGUCACCAUUAGCAACUAAGACGUGCCUAAGGGCCUAGGGUAGAGGAAGUGACCUCUCCUGUAUCUGUGAUGAAAGGAGUUGUUGGUAUAUCAGCCUGGCAUGCCUAUGGGAUAGCAAGUACUUGAUCUUUCUACAACAAACUGCAUAAAGUAGCAUUAGGGUAGCAUUAGGGAACCUGAGAGCAGAGAGGUUUCUCCUGAAAUGCUUUCUACCUAAUUGCUGCCAGCCUAUUCAGAGCUUUGGCUGUCUGAAGUAUGUCCUAAGUUUGGGCUCUGCCUCAGGGAAGCACUAUCAUGAUGACAGUGACUCUGGAUUAGAAGGGAAAGUCUCUCCUUUACAAGAAAUCCUUUCCCCAGCCUCCCUCAUAGCAGCAGGACUGCAGGCCACUUGAAAUCCCUGUAGACAGGUUCUUCCCCAGGCCUUAGUGAUAAUGAAUUAAUCCUCAGCCCUUACAUGCACCUUUCAUCUUGUGGGGCUCCUUGCAGUUUGCUUAACAACAGUGUGUCCAUUUUACAGAUGAGAAAAGGGAGGCACAAAUGAAUGAAACAGCCUCGCCCCUGAUCAUAGCGGGGAAAAAGGUUCAUUCCACCUCUUGCAACAGUGUACGAACUCAAGGGACCCCAUCCCACAGGGCAUGAUAAGCAGAAAUAAAUCAAUUAUUCUGAGAGAUUACAAAGAAGAAGUUUGCGGAGACCAUUUUGGAUGGUUGAAAGAGGAUCGUUGGAGUGCCCAAUACAGGAAGCACACUGAGAGAAAUCAAGUUGAGUGGACCAUCUAUACCCGACUGCAGGAGCUCCAGCAUCUGGGCAGAGGUCUUACAGUUUUCAGACUGCCACACAUCACUGUAAAGCCUGAGCUCAGACUAGGCAUGCUGUAACUUGGGAUACUGCCCACUACAGGAUGAAAACUUGGGGCUUUGUGUGCCUCUACAAUUGGUCUCCACAGGGGACAAAUAUCUUAACACUACUGCUAGCUAAUGCCGAUUCAUCUUCAGCAUGAAUUAGCCUCUGCAAAAUAAGUCACUCUUUAGACUGCAUAAGAAUGAGCUGAUAGGAUUUAGGUAAAAUGCUUGUAAUUGUGUGUGGAAAGGUAGUGUGUGUCCUGGAAGAAGGUGGAAGAGGUAUGUCAGCUGGGUGCUGAAAAUUUCCCAGCAUCAGGUCCCAUCCCUCAGAGUGCUGACUGCCCUUUAUUCCCCUGGAUCAGCACGGAGAGGGAUCAUUCCCUUAAGAAGGCAAGAGCUAAAUGCCAAAAUGCUUACUGCAGGGAUUCCUAGGCAAGGGAAUGCUAGGAUACUGAUGCCUUGCAUUGAGGCCAAUCCCUGAUGCAUGCACGCUGCAGUAGUGCAAAUGGACUUUGCUGUAGUGAAAUGUGUCCCGGGAAUUAUACAAGUGAAAAAAACCAAUAAAGUCACAGAUAGUACUUUGUA